UGUCAACCACAUCGCCUCGGCAAAUUUUCAACGAUAUCGAAGGGAUCUGAUAAUUCUAAUGCCGAUUGGUACAUCUCAUUUCAAACUGAUGAACUGUACACUGUAAAAUGUGCUCCAAAACUACAUAUCUUAGAAUAGACUGAGUAUUACAAAUUCAAAAGUAAAAAUCUUGUAAAAGAUACAAGUAACCUUUCGAUUUUGUCA
rnacentral:lncRNA from 1 species